UGAGUUUUGGAGAUCUGAGAGGUGAAGACCCAGAGUUGGCUGAGCAAAAGUGUUGCAAAGAAGUUGUUAAGAUAGGCUGCAGCAAAUGUGUUCACGCUGGAGGACUGUUAUACUUGUGCCAGUUUAUAGAUUGUGACGAUAAAGAUGCCACGUGUACCUCUGGAACAUGGUUCAAUACAGAAAAUGAGAAGAAUUGCAAUGAGUGCUUCUGUUUAGACGGCACCGCGUCCUUUUGUUAUCCUUAUUUAUGUUAUGGACAAAAACAAAAAUCUCAUGAAUUGGUCAGACUGCAUGGAGUUGGUAAUGACAAGAGCAUUGAGACAUGCACACCGGGACAUGAGUUUAUACAAGGCGUGCCAUCCCGGUGCGAGGGAUGUAAAUGCAAAGAUAACGGUCGAUGGACCUGCUGGCAUGAAUACAAAAGUUGUUCUGAAAUUGUGCCUGGAUUACUGCCGCAAACAU